rnacentral:rRNA from 1 species
AUUGAACGCUGGCGGCAGGCCUAACACAUGCAAGUCGAACGAGUGGCGGACGGGUGAGUACUGUCUGGGAAACUGCCUGAUGGAGGGGGAUAACUACUGGAAACGGUAGCUAAUACCGCAUACCAUCGGAUGUUCCCAGAUGGGAUUAGCUAGUAGGUGGGGUAAAGGCUCACCUGGGCGACGAUCCCUAGCUGGUCUGAGAGGAUUACCAGCAACACUGUAACUGAGACACGGGCAAGACUCCUACGGGAGGAAGCAGUGGGGAAUAUUGCACAAGGGGCGCAAGCCUGAUGCAGCCAUGCCGCGUGUAUGAAGAAGGCCUUCGGGUUGUAAAGUACUUUCAGCGGGGAGGCGUUACCCGCAGAAGAAGCACCGGCUAACUCCGUGCCAGCAGCCGCGGUAAUAC